UCCAUCGUGUGUGUGCGUGAGUGAGUGAGGAGUUAGGGGUUCUGUACAUAGAGAGUACAAACCAGGAGGACGAGGACAGAGAGAUACCAGAGAGAUGGUGAGUACCAAGAUGUCUGUUUGUUGAUUUUAACAUCAAGUCAUUCUAGUCAGUCUAACCCAUUCUUGCUUUUGACAACUAUGAUAUCUCAUAUCGCUCUCUUCUUCUUCGCUGUUUGUGUUCGCAGUACGGAUUCAUAAAUACCUGUCUGAAAUCUCUGGUCAUUGAGAUCUGGUCAUUGAGAUUUCUGGUCAUUGAGGUCUGGUGUUUUGUGUACUAAGUAAAUGUUGAUGUAAAUUUGAAAGGAUUCAGGACAUGAGUAUGCCAAUUCUCUCUAUCUCUUCAGGACCCUGGCAGAGGUCCAGGACACGUUAAUGACUUAUGAGAUAUACGAUGAUGUCAUUACUCUGCGUCUUGUGCAGGAGGCAUGUACUAUGCUGGGUAAGUACCAGUCUCUACGCUCUUUACAAUUCUAUAACGGUGUUUCAUCUUGAACCAGAAACACAUGUCAGUGUUUUUGAUACCCUUAUAUCAGUGGUUAGGAGUGUCUACCUCCUUGGGGGAGGGGGUGUGUAAGGCCAGGUGUUAACAACAUCCCUGCUGAGGCCCUCCAGGUGUGGCACAGGUGACCCAAGUGUGUUCCAGAUGUCCUGUACCUGAGGGGUCACCCCAGAGCCUGUGGACAUGACACGGUAUCAGGGUUAGAAUUACGUGACAGUCCACAAUCCCAAACUAAGACAUGCCUUCUGAGGUGGUGCUGAAGCUUUUCGGGGAGUACUUCUUCAGCUUCUGUAAGAUGGCGGGGUACGACACCAUGCUGCGUACGCUAGGGGGGAUCCUGGAUGCCCUUUAGCAGCUACCUGGCUCUCUCCGACCAGGUGACCUACUCUUUACGGCCUCUACAAUGGGAGAUGAACGCUCCCUCGUUCCGUGUGGAGAAGAACGAUGAUGGGAGGAUGUUGCUUCAUUACUACUCGGACAGGAAAGGCCUAUAUCACAUUGUGCCAGGUACGGUAAUCAUCCAUACCUAAAGUGUACCUUUAAUCUAAGGAGGUUAUCUCUUUUCUCUCUGUGCAGGCAUCAUUGAGGCGGUGGCCAAAGACUUCUUUGACAGCGAAGUGAGCAUGACCAUCCUUAACCAAUCAGAGGAGAACGAGCGCAUAGGGAAGAAAGAACAUGUGGUCUUCCUGGUCUCUCAGAGCCGAGGGUCAAAGAGGGAUUUCCGGCCCCAAAGAGAGAUCAAGGAGUGCGCUGGAAGAUAAGGGCUUUGACAUCCUAGAAAGAGGAGAGAUCCAGGUGAAGGGGAAAGGCCUGAUGACCACCAACUUCCUGCUGCAGAACCUGUGCGUGUCUGAGGACACCAUCAUGGCCAGAGGGACAGGAGAGCCAUGCGUGUACAGAGACAACCAGCAGAGGGCGGGAGAGAGUGAGAGAGAUGAGGCAAUUUGGACACAGAAGAACCAGACAGUGUGAGAAAGGAAGAAACGAAUGGCCAAAACAUGGCAUCUGCUUCUUCUUCCAGUGACCUCACCAACGAAGACACACCUUUUCUGGGAGACACUACACCUUUUCAAAAGGGCCACCUCAACGACGUGAAGUCAAGAUUCUGCCAACUGCUCUAAGUAUGAGGACUCCAUUUGGAAGCACAUCAUUUGAAAAUCUGAGACCAUUUAGGAAAUGAAAUGUUGAACUCCACAAAGGCAUGCUAGUUCUGACAGUUUUCAAAGAAUCAACAAUGUUUCUACACAGGCUUACUAACCCACUGGGCACAGAAGUCAAUUCAAUGUCUAUUCAAUGCUGGUUCAAUGUAAUUUCAUUGAAAUGACAUGGAAACAACGUUGAUUAAACCACUGUGUGCCCAGUGGGAAGUUUUAUAAAUACUGUAGACAAAAAGUGAUAAGUCGUAUCUCAAAUUUUUGUUGAUGAUCCAA